AGGAGGAGCAGCCCGCCGGCGGCCAACUAAACUCUUGUUUCUUAGUGAAUCUCUGAGUAAAAAACAUAAAUGAAUCAAAACUUUCAACAACGGAUCUCUUGGUUCUGGCAUCGAUGAAGAACGCAGCGAAAUGCGAUAAGUAAUGUGAAUUGCAGAAUUCAGUGAAUCAUCGAAUCUUUGAACGCACAUUGCGCCCUCUGGUAUUCCGGAGGGCAUGCCUGUUCGAGCGUCAUUUCAACCCUCAAGCACUGCUUGGUGUUGGGGCACCGCCUGUGAAAGGGCGGGCCCUGAAAACUAGUGGCGAGCUCGCCAGGACCCCGAGCGUAGUAGUUUAUAUCUCGUUCUGGAAGKCCCUGGCGGUGCACUGCCGUUAAACCCCCAACUUCUGAAAUUUUGACCU
rnacentral:rRNA from 1 species